GAUGAACGCUGGCGGCGUGCCUAAUACAUGCAAGUCGAGCGAACGGACGAGAAGCUUGCUUCUCUGAUGUUAGCGGCGGACGGGUGAGUAACACGUGGAUAACCUACCUAUAAGACUGGGAUAACUUCGGGAAACCGUAGCUAAUACCGGAUAAUAUUUUGAACCGCAUGGUUCAAAAGUGAAAGACGGUCUUGCUGUCACUUAUAGAUGGAUCCGCGCUGCAUUAGCUAGUUGGUAAGGUAACGGCUUACCAAGGCAACGAUGCAUAGCCGACGUGAGAGGGUGAUCGGCCACACUGGAACUGAGACACGGUCCAGACUCCUACGGGAGGCAGCAGUAGGGAAUCUUCCGCAAUGGGCGAAAGCCUGACGGAGCAACGCCGCGUGAGUGAUGAAGGUCUUCGGAUCGUAAAACUCUGUUAUUAGGGAAGAACAUAUGUGUAAGUAACUGUGCACAUCUUGACGGUACCUAAUCAGAAAGCCACGGCUAACUACGUG
rnacentral:rRNA from 1 species